rnacentral:rRNA from 1 species
GACAGAGGGUGCAAACGUUGUUCGGAAUUACUGGGCGUAAAGCGCGUGUAGGCGGCUCUGUAAGUCGGGUGUGAAAUCCCACGGCUCAACCGUGGAAGUGCACUCGAAACUACAGGGCUAGAGUCCUGGAGAGGAAGGUGGAAUGCUUGGUGUAGAGGUGAAAUUCGUAGAUAUCAAGCGGAACACCGGUGGCGAAGGCGGCCUUCUGGGACAGUGACGUGACGCUGAGACGCGAAAGCGUGGGGAGC